rnacentral:rRNA from 1 species
CAGCCGCCACGGUAAUACAGAGGGUGCAAGCGUUAAUCGGAUUUACUGGGCGUAAAGCGUGUGUAGGUGGCUGUUCAAGUCGGUUGUGAAAGCCCUGGGCUCAACCUGGGAAUUGCUUCCGAGACUGAGCGGCUAGAGUACGGUAGAGGGCGGUGGAAUUUCCGGUGUAGCGGUGAAAUGCGUAGAUAUCGGAAGGAACACCAAUGGCGAAGGCAGCCGCCUGGGCCUGUACUGACACUGAGACACGAAAGCGUGGGGAUCAAACAGGAUUAGAUACCCCUGUAGUCCCUGUCUCUUAUAC